GACGAACGCUGGCGGCGUGCUUAACACAUGCAAGUCGAGCGGUAAGGCCCUUUCGGGGGUACGACGAGCGGCGAACGGGUGAGUAACACGUGGGUGACCUGCCCUCAGCUCUGGGAUAAGCCUGGGAAACCGGGUCUAAUACCGGAUAUGACUCCAUGACGCAUGUUGUGGGGUGGAAAGCCUUGUGCGGCUGAGGAUGGGCCCGCGGCCUAUCAGCUUGUUGGUGGGGUGAUGGCCUACCAAGGCGGACGACGGGUAGCCGGCCUGAGAGGGCGACCGGCCACACUGGGACUGAGACACGGCCCAGACUCCUACGGGAGGGCAGCAGUGGGGAAUCUUGCGCAAUGGGCGAAAGCCUGACGCAGCGACGCCGCGUGAGGGAUGACGGCCUC
rnacentral:rRNA from 1 species